CGUUUGCUACUGUAGUUGGUAGCGCAUUCGCUUCACGCGAGAGGUCGUCGGUUCGAGCCCGGCGUGAGCUA